GUGGGGAAUAUUGCGCAAUGGGCGGAAGCCUGACGCAGCGACGCCGCGUGGGGGAUGAAGGCCUUCGGGUUGUAAACCUCUUUCGGCAGGGACGAAGGUGACGUGUACCUGCGGAAGAAGCGCCGGCUAACUACGUGCCAGCAGCCGCGGUAAUACGUAGGGCGCGAGCGUUGUCCGGAAUUAUUGGGCGUAAAGAGCUCGUAGGCGGCUGGUCGCGUCUGCCGUGAAAGCCCGCGGCUUAACCGUGGGUCUGCGGUGGAUACGGGCCGGCUAGAGGCAGGCAGGGGCAAGUGGAAUUCCUGGUGUAGCGGUGAAAUGCGCAGAUAUCAGGAGGAACACCGGUGGCGAAGGCGGCUUGCUGGGCCUGUCCUGACGCUGAGGAGCGAAAGCGUGGGGAGCGAACAGG
rnacentral:rRNA from 1 species